UGCUUAACUGAGAGAUAUACAUAUCAAACAGAGACGUAAGUCGGUCAUAGUGAUCCAGCGGUAUUGGGCGGAAAAGCCGUUGCUCAACGAAUAAAAGGUACGCCGGGGAUAACAGGCUGAUGGUUUCUGAGAGUUCAUAUCGACGAGACCGUUUGGCACCUCGAUGUCGUUUCAUCACAUCCUGGAGCUGUAGUUGGUUCCAAGGGUUCGGCUGUUCGCCGAUUAAAGUGGUACGUGAGAUGGGUUUAGAACGUCGUGAGACAG
rnacentral:rRNA from 1 species